CCUACGGGUGGCAGCAGUAGGGAAUGUUGCGCAAUGGGGGAAACCCUGACGCAGCAACGCCGCGUGAUUGAUGAAGUCCUUCGGGGUGUAAAGAUCUGUCAGUGGGGACGAAACCUGACGGUACCCACAGAGGAAGCACCGGCGAACUCCGUGCCAGCAGCCGCGGUAAUACGGGGGGUGCAAGCGUUGUCCGGAAUCAUUGGGCGUAAAGAGUUCGUAGGUGGCACGGUAAGUCUGGUGUUAAAGGCGGAGGCUCAACGUCCGUAGGGCACUGGAUACUGGCGAGCUUGAGUGCGGUAGAGGUAAGGGGAAUUCCUGGUGUAGCGGUGAAAUGCGUAGAUAUCAGGAGGAACAUCGGUGGCGUAGGCGCUUUACUGGGCCGUAAUUGACGCUGAGGAGCGAAAGCCGGGGUAGCAAAUAGGAUUAGAUACCCGUGUAGUC
rnacentral:rRNA from 1 species